rnacentral:rRNA from 1 species
CGGAGUGGACGCAUCACUGGUGUUCGGGUUGUCAUGCCAAUGGCAUUGCCCGGUAGCUAAAUGCGGAAGAGAUAAGUGCUGAAAGCAUCUAAGCACGAAACUUGCCCCGAGAUGAGUUCUCCCUGACUCCUUGAGAGUCCUGAAGGAACGUUGAAGACGACGACGUUGAUAGGCCGGGUGUGUAAGCGCAGCGAUGCGUUGAGCUAACCGGUACUAAUGAACCGUGAGGCUUAACCUUACAACGCCGAAGCUGUU